GAUGAAGAACGUAGCGAAAUGCGAUAAGUAGUGUGAAUUGCAGAAUUCCGUGAAUCAUCGAAUCUUUGAACGCACAUUGCGCCCCCUGGUAUUCCGGGGGGCAUGCCUGUUCGAGCGUCAUUUCACCACUCAAGCCUCGCUUGGUAUUGGGCAACGCGGUCCGCCGCGUGCCUCAAAUCGACCGGCUGGGUCUUCUGUCCCCUAAGCGUUGUGGAAACUAUUCGCUAAAGGGUGUUCGGGAGGCUACGCCGUAAAACAACCCCAUUUCUAAGGUUGACCUCGGAUCAGGUAGGGAUACCCGCUGAACUUAAGCAUAUCAAUAAGCGGAGGA
rnacentral:misc_RNA from 1 species